UACGGGGGGAGCAAGCGUUGUUCGGAUUUACUGGGCGUAAAGGGUGCGUAGGUGGGCAAGUAAGUCAGUGGUGAAAUCCCUCGGCUUAACCGGGGAACUGCGUCUGAUACUGGAUGGCUUGAGUGUGGGAGAGGGAUGCGGAAUUCCAGGUGUAGCGGUGAAAUGCGUAGAUAUCUGGAGGAACAUCAGUGGCGAAGGCGGCCCUCUGGUCCAGUACUGACACUCAAGUGCGAAAGCGUGGGGAGCAAACAGG
rnacentral:rRNA from 1 species